AUUGAACGCUGGCGGCAUGCUUUACACAUGCAAGUCGAACGGUAACAGGCCGCAAGGUGCUGACGAGUGGCGAACGGGUGAGUAAUGCAUCGGAACGUGCCCAGUCGUGGGGGAUAACGCAGCGAAAGCUGCGCUAAUACCACAUACGAUCUAUGGAUUAAAGCGGGGGACCGUAAGGCCUCGCGCGAUUGGAACGGCCGAUGUCAGAUUAGGUAGUUGGUGGGGUAGAGGCUCACCAAGCCAACGAUCUGUAGCUGGUCUGAGAGGACGACCAGCCACACUGGGACUGAGACACGGCCCAGACUCCUACGGGAGGCAGCAGUGGGGAAUUUUGGACAAUGGGCGCAAGCCUGAUCCAGCAAUGCCGCGUGCAGGAAGAAGGCCUUCGGGUUGUAAACUGCUUUUGUACGGAACGAAACGGCUCUGGUUAAUACCUGGGGCUAAUGACGGUACCGUAAGAAUAAGCACCGGCUAACUACGUGCCAGCCGCCGCCGUAACAC
rnacentral:rRNA from 1 species